CACGUAGGGUGCGAGCGUUGUCCGGAAUUAUUGGGCGUAAAGAGCUCGUAGGCGGUCCGUCACGUCGGAUGUGAAAUUCCAGGGCUCAACCCUGGACCUGCAUUCGAUACGGGCGGACUAGAGUUCGGUAGGGGAGACUGGAAUUCCUGGUGUAGCGGUGAAAUUCGUAGAUAUCGGGAGGAACACCAGUGGCGAAGGCGGCUUUCUGGACACUAACUGACGCUGAGAUGCGAAAGCGUGGGGAGCAAACAGG
rnacentral:rRNA from 1 species